rnacentral:lncRNA from 1 species
CCCUGGACUUCAGAAAAGCAGACUUUGACUCCCUCAGGGAACAGAUGGGCAGGAUCCCCUGGGAGAAUAACAUGAAGGGCAAAGGGGUCCAGGAGAGCUGGCUGUAUUUUAAAGAAUCCUUAUUGAAGUUGCAGGAACAAACCAUCCCGAUGUGUAGAAAGAAUAGUAAACAUGGCAGGCGACCAGCUUGGCUAAACAGUGAAAUCCUUGCUGAUCUUAAACGCAAAAAAGAAGCUUACAAGAAGUGGAAGAUUGGACAAAUGACCAGGGAGGAAAAUAAAAAUAUUGCUCAGGCGUGCAGAAGUGAAAUCAGGAAGGCCAAAUCACACUUGGAGUUGCAGUUAGCCAGAGAUGUUAAGAGUAACAAGAAGGGUUUCUUCAGGUAUGUUAGCAACAAGAAGAAAAUCAAGGAAAUUGUGGGCCCCUUACUGAAUAAGGGAGGCAACCUAGUGACCGAGGAUGUGGAAAAAGCUAAUGUACUCAAUGAUUUUUUUGCCUCUGUCUUCAUGCACAAGGUCAGCUCCCAGAUUGCUGCACUGGGCAGUACAGCAUGGGGAGAAGGUGACCAACCCUCUGUGGAGAAAGAAGUGGUUCGGGACUAUUUAGAAAAACUGGACGUACACAAGUCCAUGGGGCCGGAUGCGCUGCAUCCGAGGGUGCUAAAGGAGUUGGCGGGUGAGAUUGCAGAGCCAUUAGCCAUUAUUUUGGAAAAUUCAUGGCGAUCGGGGGAGGUCCCAGAUGACUGGAAAAAGGCUAAUGUAGUGCCCAUCUUUAAAAAAGGGAGAAGAAGGAUCCGGGGAACUACAGGCCAGUCAGCCUCACCUCAGUCCCUGGAAAAAUCAUGGAGCAGGUCCUCAAGGAAUCAAUUAUGAAACAUUUAGAGGAGAGGAAAGUGAUCAGGAACAGUCAGCAUGGAUUCACGAAGGGGAAUUGUGCCUGACUAACCUAAUUGCCUUCUAUGAUGAGAUAACUGGCUCUGUGGAUGAGGGGAAAGCAGUGGAUGUGUUAUUCCUUGACUUUAGCAAAG